GUCCUACGGGGGGCAGCAGUGAGGAAUAUUGGUCAAUGGGCGCGAGCCUGAACCAGCCAAGUCGCGUGAGGGAUGACGGCCCUACGGGUUGUAAACCUCUUUUGUCGGCGAGCAAAUUCCGCCACGUGUGGCGGAGUCGAGAGUACCCGAAGAAAAAGCAUCGGCUAACUCCGUGCCAGCAGCCGCGGUAAUACGGAGGAUGCGAGCGUUAUCCGGAUUUAUUGGGUUUAAAGGGUGCGUAGGUGGUUAGUUAAGACAGCGGUGAAAGUUUGUGGCUCAACCAUAAAAUUGCCGUUGAAACUGGU
rnacentral:rRNA from 1 species